AGAUCAAGUGAUGAGAAAAUAACUGCAACAAUAUGAGAGAUUUUAUCUCAUGAUUCUUAGUAUUUAAUUGUUU